CAGCGAUCCCUCCACGUCCGUCGAUCCAAGGACAGACCUCCAGUCGCACCAGAGAAAAAGGGCUGAAAAAAAACCUACGAAAAAAAACCAGCGAUCGCUACGAGCGAGGCCUCCUACUCGUUCGGCGCCGCCGCCGCUCCAUCCCUUCGCCCCUGCCGCUCCAUCCCUUCGCCGCCGUCCUCCACUUCAGGAGACGGAGCCGAUCGCGUUGAGGAUCCGCCGAGCCGCCGCUGUCCAGAACGCCACAUCAAACCCACCAGAUUCUUCUGCACGCACCACCGCCUCCCUUGCGAGGACGCCCGAUCAUGGGUCUCCAUCGGCGCCACGACGGCCGCGGCCUCCCGACCGCCGACGCUCCAGAUCCGCCUGUCGUUGACCCCCUCUACAUUAGUGAUCGGUCAAGGCAGGGGGCGUGGUGAUAUCCAUCUUUCCGCAUGUACGGCGGCCGGUGCCCGCGUCCGUGUAUCCUGCGCCAAGGGUGUCGUAUUCAUCUCAAGGAGGUCCUCUCAGUCCUUCCCGGCGAUGAUGCCGAGCCGGGAUUCCUCCUCCCACAGAUCCGUUGAUCCAUGGUCAGAUCUCAAGGAGGAGGGGCGUGCGGCGAUUGCCACCGUCGGUGCCUACACUGGAAGGUCUCCGGUGCCUGCUCCAACCAGAUCCAGCCGGACUGCCAUCCCAUUGCGAUAUGUGUGCUGCUCCUGUUGUGCAUUUGCUGGUUAAGCCGCUGCUUGUGCAAAAUAUGCUUACUGCUACCCGGGCUCACAUGACCCAGAGGAGAAAGGAGCUGCGCAAGGAAUCACUGCCAGAAGACUCAAUACGAGUGUCUUGGACUCUAGGCCAAGUUCGGCAAGGAAGCAGCAAUGCGAGCUAGCCGAGGGUUCAGACUGAUGCGCGCUUUGAUUCUCGCUGAUUUAUGAUUUUGACCAAACCAAGCUGCUUUGGUUAUCACGGAGGAGAACCCGCUGUUCCUAGAGGCCUGACGCCUGGUCGAUCACAAGUCCUCCAAAGGGUGGAGCUGUUUCAGGUAGGGUACACUUGAUGUUUCAAGUUUGGUGAAAGAAAAAGAGCUUCCUAUGUUGAUUUCGGGCAAGACAUACAUUCUGCCAUGCAUUAGUAGAUCAAUUGCUUCUCUGUGCAGGGGAACAAUUAGUGAUUGAAUCUCUCUGUCACGUUUCUUGAUUAUCCAAUUAAUUUACCCCCAUCUAUGCAUAAAUUGGUCCGAUUGAGAUAUGCCAUUUUUUAUGUAAUAAUCUAUAUUGGUUCUAUAUAUGACUAGAACAAUAUGAUACGAUGCACAUCGGUCCGCUUUACUGGCAAUCUAUCUACCUAGAUGGAGGGGAGGCACCCGUGUGGAGCUGCUCAAUGUUCGAGGAGAUACAGCUAAUUAAACAAGGUUAUUUUAAAGUUCUUUGUGGUUCAUGUUAGCUAGCUAUCAGUAAUAGUACAAUCUUGAUUUUUAUGUCGUUCAGGUUUACCUAACCAUCAGUAACAUUACUUUCUAUUGGAGACUUCUUACAGGAGGUGCUUAUAAAAUGAUAGUUCAACAGGUACAGAUUUUGGAUUGCGGUCAUCUAUUUACCAGGGCAUCGGUUAACUCAAGGCAUCGAUCAAAAUUUAGCAUUCUUUGUUGUGUGCAGCAAGGGGAAGACAGAGAUUGUCUGAUAUAUGCGAUAGCGCAAUAUAAUUUCUCUUGCAUAUUUAUAAUCUGCCAUUUGAAUGAUGUUUUCUGUGUUGUAGUCGAAUCAAGACAAUUUGCAACUUUGGUGUUGUGACGUUGGAGGCAUUGCUCAACAACAAUGGGGGACUGUCGUUGAUGCCUGACCCAUGAUGCCGGCGAAGGAACGAGAGUCGACGAGGGGUGGACGCCAUGGGUUCGUGAACUGGCCAAGCCUCCAUUGUUCGUUUGGUAAUGUCCGACGCAUUAGAGGCAUAGUAUGACAUGCCCUGAUUUUUACGUCGUCUACCAACAUCUGACGAAGGAGAACCCGUCCCGGUUUCCAUCUUGAUGGUAAGUUCUUUAAUCUUCUAUCUCAUGGGAUGUGAUGUGGUUGCCUUUAUUUUGGCUUUUGACAAAGGAUUGAAAUUAGCUUAUGUGCUUCCGAAGUGAUAUUAUCAACCUUCAGCGCCACCACACUCAAAUGGCGUAGGAUAGACUGAUGUUUCAUGUGAUGUGCUUUAAGCCAUGUUUCAGCUUGUGUCGACCCAACAUGUAUUUUUAGUUUCAGUUGUUGAGCUCUGCACUACAAAACUGAGAAAGACCCAUGACUUUUUACAGACUACAAAUAGAGGGAAAUUGGCUUGUGCCUUACUAGAGACAGAUGAACCAAUAAAAUGAUUGAAAAGGCUCUUUCCAAGCAUAAGGUAAGCUGAAUCUUGUACAGUUUACUUCUUAAUAUAAUUUGGUCAGUAUGUUGUUUAUUUUCUGAAAUACUUGAAGCUAUCACUAUCAAAGCAUAUACUGAUAUGUUUUUGUAGCUAUGUUUGCCUGUGAACAUUGUAUUCCAUGCCAUGUGAUCAGAAAGAACAAUAUGUACAUAUCAGUAGGAAUUAAUUGGGGACUACAUAUUUCCUAGAGGGUAUCACUACGAGUGAGAAAGUUUAUUAUUGUGAGUCAAUAUUUUGGAAUGGUAAAUCAGAAAGUUCUUGGAGCUAUUUCAGGCUAAACUUGUACAAACAGUAUGUACAUGUCAUAUUUUAAAAUUUGGUUCCCAGACUUUCUGAUUACAUAUCCGAUGCUUAACAUUCAUCAUUGUAAAUGUACAUUUAAUUGUAAAUCAGGAAGUUGUUUCAUAUGCGAAACUUCAAUAUAGAUGUGAUUUACAUUGAUAACCAUGGAACAUCAAGAAGUAAAACGAGUGGAUCUAGCAACAACAUAUUCGAACAUCGACAGCAACAGAGUACUUGAACAUGAACAUCAUUUGAUCUAUCUGUGCUUGCAAAAUGAUGAAUUACUGUUGUAUACACGCAUUGCAAAUUCUUCCACAACAAUCUGUACUUGAACACCAACAACAUACUCCAACAUCAACACGCAUUGCAAAUGGUGAAUUACAGAAACAGAGUUCAGAACACAACUGUCACAAAGGUACUUGUACAAGUAUACC